UGUCAAAGAUGUGGCGAAUACU
rnacentral:miRNA from 1 species